AGCAGCCGCGGUAAUUCCAGCUCCAAUAGCGUAUAUUAAAGUUGUUGCAGUUAAAAAGCUCGUAGUUGAAUUUCGGGAUCAAUUUGUUGGUCGUGCCAUUGUACGUACUGGUAUUAUUGAUUCCUACCUUCUGACGAACCAUGAUGUCAUUAAUUUGGUGUCAUGGGGAAUCAGGACUGUUACUUUGAAAAAUUAGAGUGUUUAAAGCAGGCUCACGCUUGAAUACAUUAGCAUGGAAUAACGAAAUAGGACGUUUGAUUCUAUUUUGUUGGUUUCUAGGAUCGACGUAAUGAUUAAUAGGGAUAGUUGGGGGCAUUAGUAUUCAAUUGUCAGAGGUGAAAUUCUUGGAUUUUAUUGAAGACUAACUACUGCGAAAGCAUUUGCCAAGGAUGUUUUCAUUAAUCAAGAACGAAAGUUAGGGGAUCGAAGACGAUCAGAUACCGUCGUAGU
rnacentral:rRNA from 1 species